CUAUUUCCAUUGCAUCACCCUCUAUCUGAACAGGUUGAUAUGGUCUUGCUUUGAACACAUAAAGUGAAGUGACUACAUAUUUACAUCUACUUUCUAAGAUAGUGAUCCAAAUUGGAUCUUUAAUUGUACUUCUUCAAAAAUUUCUUCUGUCACCGGCUCUUAUAUUUCUGCUUUCGUUGAUUCAUCUUUUCUUACCCACUGUCAUUGC
rnacentral:lncRNA from 1 species